AGCAGCCGCGGUAAUUCCAGCUCCAAUAGCGUAUAUUAAAGUUGUUGCAGUUAAAAAGCUCGUAGUUGAAUUUCGGGAUCAGAGUGUCGGUCGUGCCUCGGUACGCACUGGUAUUAUUGGUUCCUACCUUCUGAAGAACCGCGAUGUCAUUAAUUUGGUGUCGUGGGGAAUCAGGACUGUUACUUUGAAAAAAUUAGAGUGUUUAAAGCAGGCUUACGCUUGAAUACAUUAGCAUGGAAUAAUGAAAUAGGACGUUUGAUUCUAUUUUGUUGGUUUCUAGGAUUGACGUAAUGAUUAAUAGGGAUAGUUGGGGGCAUUAGUAUUCAAUUGUCAGAGGUGAAAUUCUUGGAUUUAUUGAAGACUAACUACUGCGAAAGCAUUUGCCAAGGAUGUUUUCAUUAAUCAAGAACGAAAGUUAGGGGAUCGAAGACGAUCAGAUACCGUCGUAGUCUUAACCAUAAACUAUGCCGACUAGGGAUCGGAUGAUGUUAAUUUUUAAUGUACUCAUUCGGCGCCUUAA
rnacentral:rRNA from 1 species